CUUGAUUGUUUUAAUCUUGCUCUCUAGACAGGAUAUCAUCGUAUACUGUAAGUUCAUUAUUGAGACACUACAGUAUAGAUGAUGUACUAUCCAGGGGGUCAACGAGCCUCUGACGGUU
rnacentral:pre_miRNA from 8 species